GAUGAACGCUGGCGGCGUGCCUAAUACAUGCAAGUCGAGCGAACGGACGAGACGUUUGCUUCUCUGAUGUUAGCGGCGGACGGGUGAGUAACACGUGGAUAACCUACCUAUAAGUCUGGGAUAAUUUCGGGAAACCGGAGCUAACACCGGAUAAUAUUUUGAACCGCAUGGUUCAAAGGUGAAAGACGGUCUUGCUGUCACUUAUAGCUGGUUCCGCGCUGCAUUAGCUAGUUGGUACGGUAACGGCUUACCAAGGCAAGGAUGCAUAGCCGAACUGAGAGGCUGAUCGGCCACACUGGAACUGAGACACGGUCCAGACUCCUGCGGGAGGCAGCAGUAGGGAAUCUUCCGCAAUGGGCGAAAGCCUGACGGAGCAACGCCGCGUGAGUGAUGAAGGUCUUCGGAUCGUAAAGCUCUGUUAUUAGGGAAGAACAUAUGUGUAAGUAACUGUGCAGAUCUUGACGGUACCUAAUCAGAAAGCCACGGCUAACUACGUG
rnacentral:rRNA from 1 species